rnacentral:sRNA from 1 species
CACCGCCUGGGGAGUACGACCGCAAGGUUAAAACUCAAAUGAAUUGACGGGGACCCGCACAAGUAGUGGAGCAUGUGGUUUAAUUCGAAGAUACGCGCAGAACCUUACCAACACUUGACAUGUUCGUCGCGACUCUAAGAGAUUAAAGUUUUCGGUUCGGCCGGACGAAACACAGGUGCUGCAUGGCUGUCGUCAGCUCGUGUCGUGAGAUGUUGGGUUAAGUCCCGCAACGAGCGCAACCCUCACUUUUAGUUGCCAUCAUUAAGUUGGGCACUCUGAAAGAACUGCCAGUGAUAAGCUGGAGGAAGGUGGGGAUGACGUCAAGUCCUCAUGGCCCUUACGUGUUGGGCUACACACGUGCUACAAUGGUAUCUACAACAGGAAGCAAGACUGCGACGUCAAGCAAAUCCUAAAAAGAUACCUCAGUUCGGAUUGCACUCUGCAACUCGAGUGCAUGAAGCUGGAAUUACUAGUAAUCGUGGAUCAGCGUGCCACGGUGAAUGCGUUCCCGGGUCUUGUACACACCGCCCGUCACACCACGGGAGUUGGUUCUACCUUAAGGUAAGGUUUCAAACCCUUGACCACGGUAUAGUCAGCGACUGGGGUGAAGUCGUAACAAGGUAGCCGUAGGGGAACCUGCGGCUGGAUUACCUCCUUUCUAAGGAUGAGUAAAAAAUUUUUUUUACUCUAAAUAAUAUACAGGUUAAUGUUGACCGUCCUCAUUUCUCUUCUUAAAAGCAGUGUUUCUCUUGCAUGGGGGCCGGUAGCUCAGUUGGUUAGAGCACACCCUUGAUAAGGGUGGGGUCGAAAGUUCGAGUCUUUCUCGGCCCACCAAUUUUAAGUUCAUGGGGGAUUAGCUCAGCUGGGAGAGCGCCUGAUUUGCAUUCAGGAGGUCAGCGGUUCGAUCCCGCUAUCCUCCACCAGAGACACUUAGUUAUAAAAAUUGUGAAUAAAAAUAAUAAUUAAUAUCAAUAUCUAUAUCCGAACAUUAGUAAUGUUAUUAGCUAAUGUUCAAAUAAAAAUUUGAUUCAACACAGAAUUUUUUCUG